GAUAUAACCAAAGCCUGACUAU
rnacentral:miRNA from 1 species